rnacentral:tmRNA from 1 species
GGGGCCGACCAGGUUUCGACGUGGGUGCGGAUCCGGAGUAGGGCAUGCCGAGCACCAGUCCGCUCGUAAAACCACUGGAAACAAAGUAACUGCAAACGACGAAAAGUUUGCCCUCGCCGCUUAAACAACGGUGAGCCUCUCAACGGUUGGCCGAUGGGCCGGGCCGAUGCCGCAAGGCUAGGCUGAGAGGUCAUUCACAUCGGCUGGCGUCCAGUUGGGUCACACAACCGGGCGCGAGAUCUAGUGACUGGCGUUGUUCGUAGCGUGCCCCUGCGCGACGACGGCGUAAGACUCAAAUCAGAAGGCUAAGCAUGUAGAACUGCCCGGUGAUGGCUUGCGGACGGGGGUUCAAUUCCCCCCGGCUCCACCA